rnacentral:lncRNA from 1 species
CACAUGAUUUCGAUUGAAGUCAAAGCAUUAGCACAUGGUUACCCGUGGAUGGAUGAUAGGCAAUUGAUAUUGCCACCCUCAAACUAAACAGGAAAUAGUCGUGGUUGGAGCAUAAAAUUAUGUUAUUCCCUGAAAAAUACCACUAGUGUUUUGACCCAACUCAAAAGUAGAGAGAAUGUCGAGCUUCUAUGAAAUUCGUGGAGCUUCCUUCUUUUAAAGAAAAAAAGAUAAAAAAACUUUCGGGAUGAAAUCAUAGAAAGGUUUCUAAUUGACAAGUACCCGGUCACUACCUCUUUCUUUUUUAUUUUAUUCUGAGAGUGAAAGGAAAACAGAUUAAGAAAACAGCAAGGAAACUUGAAUUCAUUCGUGGAACAAAAUGAACGAGAAAGAAAAGGUUCCAGAACUACCGCGUUAUGGUUGCAUUGCAGAUUAUAUAUACAGAGUCCACGUGUCGUUUGCCCCUACGGAUUAGCGGAGUCGAUUACGCGUUGAAGCAACGCGUGGAAACCCUUCAAAUUCGGAGAUAUAUAUAAUAUAUAUAUCCAAAUUUUGAUUUAACGCAGUUGUUCGUACACCUCUCUCUCUCUCUCUCUCGCUCUCGCUCUGUAAGGCCUCUCAACUCAUCUCUUUAAUGUUGGCUUGUACCUUUUCUCUUAUCUCUCCCAGAUGUUCUUCUUUCAUAUAAAUAUUCGCUUCUUAUUUUAUGUAUUUUGUUGUUUUGAUGUCAUCUGAAACGUUGUUUCAUGUUUUGUGAUCGUUUGUCUUAACGUAUGCCGGCCCUGCUCCAUAAUCUUAUCAAAAUUCGACAACAUUCCCAGAACAUGGCUCCGUUUUCUGAAGAUCUCAAAAUUUGUUUAAUUUCUCAUCAACUCUUUGGGAAAUUUUUGUAUUAUCGCUUCCAAUUGAUACCUUUUUGCUUGUCUAGUUCUUGAUUGGAUCAAAAUGGCGACUUUUGAUUUGGGAAAUUUGUCGACAGAUGGAACUCUUUUUUUAAAAAAUUUUUGUAAUUUCUCGCUUGCUGGAACAAGUUUGUCUGAUCAUGGUAUCCUGAUCUUGAGUCCUGACAUUGUAUGUUAUCCUCCAUACGAAUGUUUGUGACUUGUUUACUUGUUGGGUAAUUCGGGAUUUAUGUACCAAUAUUUAUGAUUAUGUUUUUCCUUUUUCUUAUUUUGAUCAAAGUGUAUUAUGUCUUCACUUUCUAGAAAGCAGAAAUGUUAAAUGUCUUCUCAUCACUGCUUUUGCUAUUUGUGUCACAGGACUCAUUCUUGGUUGAAAAAACAUGGGAAAGGACAAGGACAAGCAUAAGCACGAUGACAAGGGUCUCUUUUCACACCACCAUGGUCAUGGAGGUUACCCUCCUGGUGCAUACCCUCCACCUCCUGGGGGAU